rnacentral:tRNA from 1 species
CGGUGGUUGCUUGAGUGGCUGAAAAGGCUGGUCUCGAAAACCAGUAAUGGUGCAAAUCAUUCGAGGGUUCAAAUCCCUCACCACCGGCCA